rnacentral:lncRNA from 1 species
CAUUCAAGAAAAUAAAGCUUUGAAGAUCAAUACACAUUCCAUAAAUCUCUUAUCUCAACAACAAGAUCAAAGCAUCGAAAUACCAAAAAUAAAAUCAUUUACCAAAUAGCCUUCAAAGUUUUGAAGUUGGGGAGAGCAGGUUGGAGUUCCAACUGGAGAGGAACGAGUUCUUUCUUGGUGAUCCACACGGAGGAAAAGAAGUCCAGAGGUUUUGAAAAGUGCAGGUGGCACAAUUGAUGAGUUCUUCAGUGAUUUAAAGUUUGUGUGGUUAGAAUCGACUAAGGUUUAAUUGUGUUUGGUCCAACUAUAAGUUAAAUCUUUUCUAGUGUAUUUGUUUUACAAGGUUCGUUCGGAG